rnacentral:lncRNA from 1 species
AGCAUGCAAGGCAUCUCAUCAUGAUAUCUUCACAAACAGUUAAAUAAAUUUUUUUGUAUUUAAUAAUCAAACCUUAGUUCAAAUAACAAAUCAAAACUCAGUGUUCAAAAAAAAGUAACUGUCUGACAAAGUCAAUACUAAAACAAAACUAAAAAGUCUUAAAUAAAUUCUGAGAAAAUCCUAAAUCAAUGAGCUAACUCCAUCUCUAAUCGCUCUCCCAACCGAAAUCCCGCAUCAUGCUAAUUUUCUGGAUCUGUAAGAAAAACAUAAAACUUAUCAUGAGCUAAAUAGCCCAGUAAG